rnacentral:rRNA from 1 species
GGUUUCCUCUCUCUUUUUUAACCAGUUACAGGCGGGACGCUGUCCUUUAAGCGGCAGGAGUGGGAGAGAGGGAGCGAGCUCGAGAGGGGUUUCCUUCCCCUAGGUCGAGCGGCCUCGGGCGUGGAGCACCAGAGGAAGACAGGACCGACGCCUGCUCGGACCGGGGCCCGGGCGUGGCUGUGCCAAGCUGCUGGUGAGUCGGCUCGGCGACGAGACGGAGAGAGGCUGUCUGUGGAAGAGGCGGAGGCGGCGGCGGCGGCGGAAGAAGAGGCUGCGUCCACUCGCGGAAGCGGCGGGUUCGACCUGCGGCAGAGAGAGCAGAGUCCACGCGGGAGAAGUACAAAGAGAGGUGCGUAGACGUAGACCGGAUCCGAGUUUAAUUGGUCUCCGCUGCCUCGUGUGAGCGCUACGCGUGCAUCGAGCGGCGGCGGUGGCGGCUCCCAUUUGAGGAGAGCGGGGAGGGAGCAGAGCGAAGAGUGGCCGCCCUUGUUUGCGUGAGCUCCACCAAGUCGAGUCAAAGGAGCGACUCCGUGUGUGUUUCGUGUCUUUCUGGCUGUCUCAUCAUCAUGGAGUCAUCGUCUCUCUGUGUGUGUGUCUCUCUCAAAAGUCCGCUGCCUACGGGAAGAGACAAGAAGAAAACUCGACAUAUGAUGAUUGUCUAUGCCGUUGACUCGACUCGUCGCUUACGAUGUUGAGUCAAAAUGACGUUGUGUAUGUAUGUACCGGUUGGACGCAUGUGUGUGUGACCGUCACCGGCAGUUGAAACGUCGUUUAACAUCGGGUGUUAGUGUGUUCACGUAGGUGUAACGUGUUUGUUGACGAAUUGAUGUUAGUACACAUUCGAUUGUCAAACAUGAACGAACAGAAGUACUAAAGUCGACGAGGUUUCCUCAAUCGGCACCCACCUGCUUGAUUUCGAACGGCGCUGUAAAGUCGACUGGCCCGAGGCUGCCUGCUGCUACGGCCCGUCUUCUCCGCGUUGGUACGAGCUCCUAGACGGCCUCCUAUAGUACCUGUUCUAUGAGUAGUCAAACGGCAGCUUCCUGCAGCCGGCAACGGCGCGGCAGUCGCGCAGUACCGCAUCACGCUGUAGGUGCGGGCGUAAGUACGAGCUCGUGGCGGCGGCGGUCGGCAGCAAGGGGUAGCAGCUACCGGUCCCCGCCGGGCGGUCGGAGCAGCAGCAAGCACUGCGGUUACAGGUACUCGUCGAGACCGGAAAGGAGGGCCCAGGACUUGUAGCGAACGUCUUAACGGAGUCUCCGCGGACGCUACCGAAGGAGCAGCAGAGAGCUCCGUUGGUCGAGAUGUAGACGUUGGGCCAGUAGGCGUGCAUACGAGAGGAUGGCCUCGGAGUCUCCGUUAUGUUGUGGUAUCGGCCAAAGAUGACGGUGGUAAGUUGACCUCUUAUAUCCCACGAGACCCAGAGUGUCAGUGUACUGAGCAGGUGUAGGUCGAAUAUGCAGGAGUGCCACCCUAGGCUGUUCGGCUCCGUGUUGUCUCAGUCUUACGGCUGUCAGAGUAGCGGAAGACGUCUUGUCUUCGAUGAGUUGUUCGACGCAAAAAGUAGGCUGACAAGUGGUGGUCAGGUGGUGGCACCGUCGGACGUGACCGCAGUAACACCACGGUCGCUGUAAUACCCUCUGCUGCCUCUGUAAUAACACAAGCUGUGUCUUCUCCUCAGUAAGGCUACCUACGCGCCAGGGUGGGUCGGUACGGUAACAUCCUUCAACAAGCUGUACCUCCCCUGUGAACGAAAGACCCCGCCGAGCUGAGGGUCCAGGUGAAGUUACCUACAGACCCACUACGUCCUAAUGCUCCGACUUUAGACCCGAAAGUUCAUGGCCUAACUAGACAGUUGGCACCUCCGUAGUUCUGUUGAAAUAAGUUGAAGAAAACAUUUCUUUUCCUAUUCCAGUGAACUAAGAUGCCACGCUAACAACUUGCUACACCGACACGAUUUGUUUACACUCGACGACCAGUACAAGUUAUUCUUCGUACACAACGCGACGUUACAACUACCGUUCAAGGAUCCACAACACUUGUAACCCUUCUCAGUGAUAACGUACAACGAAUGAGUCGUGGCGGAGGUUCUCUCGUAACAAGGCUAAGGUCCGGUACUAUACUACGUUCUUUUCGGCUCCUCGGAGGUAAGAGGUGUCCCGUACAGACUUACCAGUACUGAGGACCGAACGGAAAACAGGAAUCGAGAAGGAUGAACAUGGUGUACGGUAUAACCUACACUAGCAAACCACGAACAAUACUACAGAACUAGUUACUAGUAGAACAAUUACGAGACUUGAUACCUAUAGAAACCGUUCCAACUCUACGUGUUUACCAGUACGAUACAACAUUACAAUAAGAUCUAGAGAAUG